rnacentral:rRNA from 1 species
CAGUAGCCACGGUAAUACAGAGGGUGCAAGCGUUAAUCGGAAUUACUGGGCGUAAAGCGCGCGUAGGUGGUUUGUUAAGUUGGAUGUGAAAUCCCCGGGCUCAACCUGGGAACUGCAUCCAAAACUGGCAAGCUAGAGUAUGGUAGAGGGUGGUGGAAUUUCCUGUGUAGCGGUGAAAUGCGUAGAUAUAGGAAGGAACACCAGUGGCGAAGGCGACCACCUGGACUGAUACUGACACUGAGGUGCGAAAGCGUGGGGAGCAAACAGGAUUAGAUACCCGCGUAGUCCCUGUCUCUUAUAA